CAAGAAUGUAUAGCCGAAAGACG
rnacentral:piRNA from 1 species